rnacentral:lncRNA from 7 species
UUGCUUUCCUCAUGCAGAAGGGAUGUUUCUCAGCUGCAGCAGCCGCAGGCAAUGAGCAGCCGGACACAGAAGCACUUCAGCUGCACCAGGCAGAAGCAGCAGGCAAAGUUCUCCAGCCCACACUUUGCCCUGUGCCCCUGGGGAAGAGGGUUCCUUUGCAACCGAUAUGAACGGAGUGUGUGGGAGAGACGCUGCGUGGAACCCGCAAAUGUGUUUCUGGAAGGGUGCCAAAUGGCCACCAGAGGAUUUAAUUUGUCAAUAAGCUGCACGAAUGCCCAGGCCACCUCCAUCUGCUGCUGUGACAGAACACAAUUAACAGGAAAAUCCCAGACCUUCUCCUCUCUCUUGAUACUGGAGUUUUCUGGCUGAGCAAUUUGACAUCAUCAUCAUCACAGACAUUUCCCCUAUCUCUAUAGCAACGUAUGAUGAUGCCACAAACAGAAGAUUAUGCAAUCUGUGUAGACUCAGAUGGAAGGAGAGGCAGGGCUGGGAGCUGUGAUUUAAACACAAAUGUCUCUAAUAGCAGCAAGGGGAAUACAGAAACUUUUUGGCCAUGGAAAUGGUUUUAGUAUAAACAUUCUCAUCUUCCAAGUUUUGCUCCGGUGGGAAAGUUUCUCCUUAAAGUCCUCUUAUACAUAUGUGUGUUGUAUAUACACGUUCACACACAGAUAUAUUUAUUUAUGUGUAAAAGAAUGCAAUGAUUAUGCAAAUGCACUAUUGUUCCCACCAUUGUGCAGGCAGGGAUGUGCAUGCAUACUGUGCACCAUUGUGCAGGCAGGGAUGCUGCCAGCACCCUAAACAUAACCUCUACAUUUUCGAAGACCUACCGUGCUCUGCUCAUGUCAGGCACAAAAAUGCUGUGGAUCUGCCCAGAUCUCAUGUUCCCUUUUCAGCUGAGGGCUGCUGCAUCAGACCCUACUGAAUGUCUUUUUUUUUCAUGUAUGAUAUAGGAAUGAUUGUGUCCUUGGCUAGGUGGGACCAGCAUCCUCCUCUUUCAGACCCACUCUAUCCUUUCCCUACCAG